GGGGGCGACAUGGCUUCGACGUGGGUUGCAAAGCAGCGUAGGGCAUACCGAGGACCCGCAACCUCGUAAAUCAGCUGGAAAAAACUAGUCGCAAACGACGAAAAGUACGCUUUAGCAGCUUAGUCUGCUAGACCUCGCACCUUCUCUCCCAUGGGGAGGCUCAAAGCCUACGGGCCAAGAUGAGCGAGGUCCUAACAUGGGAUCGUGUCGAGCAGGGUUACUUUGCUCGAAGCUAAAACUAAGGUAACUCGUCCGGUGGCAGCCUGUCGGUUGGCGGCAAACGGAUAAAAUUAAAUAAUCAGACUAAGUAUGUAGAACUAUCUGUAGAGUGCUUGCGGACGGGGGUUCAAUUCCCCCCGCCUCCACCA
rfam:Gallionellales bacterium GWA2_59_43 gwa2_scaffold_12526, whole genome shotgun sequence.